AUACCUCAACUCUCAUGGCUUGCCAUGAUGAGCUUGGACUUUGGGGGUCUUGUUGGUCUGUGAGCCAGCUCCUCUUAAAUGAAUUAGCUUGCCGGUGUUUGGUGGCGUCACAGGUGUGAUAACUAUCUACGCUUGUGGUUUCCCACCAGGUAACCUUCAGCAAUGGAGGUUCACUGGAGCUUAUAAAUGUCUCUCCUCAGCGAGGACACAUUUUGACC
rnacentral:misc_RNA from 1 species